GUCUGGGUGGCUCAGUCGGUUGAGCAUCUGACUUCAGCUCAGGUCAUGAUCUCACAGUUUAUGGGUUCGAGCCCCGCAUCGGGCU
rnacentral:tRNA from 1 species